rnacentral:rRNA from 1 species
AGUGAACGCUGGCGGUAGGCCUAACACAUGCAAGUCGAACGGCAGCACAGUAAGAGCUUGCUCUUACGGGUGGCGAGUGGCGGACGGGUGAGGAAUACAUCUGAAUCUACUUUUUCGUGGGGGAUAACGUAGGGAAACUUACGCUAAUACCGCAUACGACCUACGGGUGAAAGCAGGGGAUCUUCGGACCUUGCGCGAUUGAAUGAGCCGAUGUCGGAUUAGCUAGUUGGCGGGGUAAAGGCCCACCAAGGCGACGAUCCGUAGCUGGUCUGAGAGGAUGAUCAGCCACACUGGAACUGAGACACGGUCCAGACUCCUACGGGAGGCAGCAGCGGGGAAUAUUGGACAAUGGGCGCAAGCCUGAUCCAGCCAUACCGCGUGGGUGAAGAAGGCCUUCGGGUUGUAAAGCCCUUUUGUUGGGAAAGAAAAGCAGCAGGUUAAUACCCCGCUGUUCUGACGGUACCCAAAGAAUAAGCACCGGCUAACUUCGUG